rnacentral:rRNA from 1 species
GACGAACGCUGGCGGCGUGCUUAACACAUGCAAGUCGAACGGUAAAGCUUUGCUUGAACGGUUCGCGGGUGGGGUAAAGUGGAUUAGCGCCGGACGGGUCUGUACCACGUUUGUAACUUGCCUUAGACAUUUGGGUCUCCUCCGGAAACCGGGAUUAAUACCAUAUGAAAUCAUAAUGGCACAUGUCGUCACGAUCAAAACUCCGGUGGUGUAAGAUGGUGUCGAGUCCCUUUAGUUCGUGGGUAGAGUAAAAUCAUACCAAGGCGAGGAUGGGGAGCCGGAAGGAGAGGGGGAACGGCGAGAUUGGAACUGAGAAACGGUCCAAACUCCUACGAGAGGCAGGAGAGGGGAAUAUAGCACAAUGGAGGGAACGCUGAUGCAGCGACGCGGGGUGAACGAAGAAGGCGUUCGAGUCGUAAAGUGCUUUUAUAUGGGAAGAUAAUGACGGUACCAUAAGAAAAAGCCCCGGCUAACUACGUG